CCUACGGGAGGCAGCAGUAGGGAAUCUUCCACAAUGGGCGAAAGCCUGAUGGAGCAACGCCGCGUGGGUGAAGAAGGUCUUCGGAUCGUAAAACCCUGUUGUUAGAGAAGAAAGUGCGUGAGAGUAACUGUUCACGUUUCGACGGUAUCUAACCAGAAAGCGACGGCUAACUACGUGCCAGCAGCCGCGGUAAUACGUAGGUGGCAAGCGUUAUCCGGAUUUAUUGGGCGUAAAGGGAACGAAGGCGGUCUUUUAAGUCUGAUGUGAAAGCCUUCGGCUUAACCGGAGUAGUGCAUUGGAAACUGGGAGACGUGAGUGCAGAAGAGGAGAGUGGAACUCCAUGUGUAGCGGUGAAAUGCGUAGAUAUAUGGAAGAACACCAGUGGCGAAAGCGGCUCUCUGGUCUGUAACUGACGCUGAGGUUCGAAAGCGUGGGUAGCAAACAGGAUUAGAUACCCUUGUAGUC
rnacentral:rRNA from 1 species